rnacentral:rRNA from 1 species
AUUGAACGCUGGCGGCAUGCCUUACACAUGCAAGUCGAACGGCAGCAUGGGUGCUUGCACCUGAUGGCGAGUGGCGAACGGGUGAGUAAUGCAUCGGAACGUACCCGGAAGUGGGGGAUAACGUAGCGAAAGUUACGCUAAUACCGCAUAUUCUGUGAGCAGGAAAGAGGGGGAUCGCAAGACCUCUUGCUUUCGGAGCGGCCGAUGUCGGAUUAGCUAGUUGGGGAGGUAAAGGCUCACCAAGGCGACGAUCCGUAGCGGGUCUGAGAGGAGGAUACGCACCGCUGGGACUGAGACACGGCCUAGACUCCUACGGGAGGCAGCAGUGGGGAAUUUUGGACAAUGGGGGCAACCCUGAUCCAGCCAUGCCGCGUGAGUGAAGAAGGCCUUCGGGUUGUAAAGCUCUUUUGUCAGGGAAGAAAUGGUCUGGGCUAAUACCCUGGGCAGAUGACGGUACCUGAAGAAUAAGCACCGGCUAACUACGUGCCAGCCGCCGCUGUAAGAC